rnacentral:rRNA from 1 species
CCUACGGGUGGCAGCAGUCGAGAAUCAUUCACAAUGGGGGAAACCCUGAUGGUGCGACGCCGCGUGGGGGAAUGAAGGUCUUCGGAUUGUAAACCCCUGUCAUAUGGGAGCAAAUUAAAAAGAUAGUACCACAAGAGGAAGAGACGGCUAACUCUGUGCCAGCAGCCGCGGUAAUACAGAGGUCUCAAGCGUUGUUCGGAAUCACUGGGCGUAAAGCGUGCGUAGGCUGUUUCGUAAGUCGUGUGUGAAAGGCGCGGGCUCAACCCGCGGACGGCACAUGAUACUGCGAGACUAGAGUAAGGGAGGGGGAACCGGAAUUCUCGGUGUAGCAGUGAAAUGCGUAGAUAUCGAGAGGAACACUCGUGGCGAAGGCGGGUUCCUGGACAUUAACUGACGCUGAGGCACGAAGGCCAGGGGAGCGAAAGGGAUUAGAUACCCGAGUAGUC